rnacentral:rRNA from 1 species
AUGCGGCCGCGACUUCCCGCCACCAAGCUCAAACCGGCCGCCGCCGCACCACCACACUGCCCGCCUCGUCCUCCGGCAGCCGCCCGCGCCCUCUCCGCCGCCGCACCACCUUCCGACGCAUGCCACCUCCAGCAGCAGCAGCAGCAGCAGCAGCAGCUCGAUGCCCGCAUCGCCCGGGGCGACCUCACGCGCGCCCGCCACCUGUUCGACCGAAUGCCGGACCCGGACGCCCGCGCAUACAACGCCCUCAUCCGGGCCUACUCCUGGCGCGGCCCCGCCCACGCCGCCGGCGUGCUUGCCCUCUACGCCGCCAUGCUCCGCGGCGGCCGCUGCCCGCCCGACAAGUACACCUUCCCCUUCGUCCUCAAGGCCUGCUCCGCCCUCCGGGACCUCCGCGCGGGCCGCGCCAUCCACCGCCACGCCGCCCGCGCGGGCCUCCACGCCGACCUCUUCGUGUGCACCGCCCUCAUCGACCUCUACAUGAAGUGCGCCCGCUUCGGCCCCGCCGCCGUCGUCUUCCACGCUAUGCCCGCCAGGGACGCCGUCGCGUGGAACGCCAUGCUCGCCGGCUACGCGCUCCACGGCAUGUACCACCACGCGCUGGAGUGCCUCCUCCGCAUGCAGGAGGGCUGCGCCAGCCUCAGGCCCAACGCCUCCACCCUCGUCGCCCUCCUCCCACUGCUCGCCCAGCAGAGCGCGCUCUGUCAAGGAAAGUCGAUGCAUGCCUACAGCGUCCGUGCCUCUCUCCAUGACAAGGACGGGGUGCUCGUCGGCACCGCGCUGCUGGACAUGUAUGCAAAGUGCGGGGAAUUGCUCUAUGCACGCAGGGUCUUCGAGGCCAUGCCCAUCAGGAACGAUGUUACUUGGAGCGCCAUCAUCGGUGGCUUUGUGGUGUGCGGCAGGAUGACGGAGGCCUUCGGUCUGUUCAAGGACAUGCUGGCACAAGGACUGGGCUUCCUUUCCCCAACCUCUGUCGCCAGCGCUCUCAGAGCUUGCGCCAGCCUGGCUGAUCUCUGCAUCGGUAAACAGCUUCAUGUUUUGCUUGCGAAAUCCGGCCUCCACUCUGACCUGACCGCCGGGAACUCGCUCCUCUCGAUGUAUGCCAAGGCUGGGUUGAUCGACGAAGCUACUGCCCUUUUUGAUGAGAUGGCGGCCAAGGACACGGUCUCUUACAGUGCACUCGUAUCAGGGUAUGUGCAGAAUGGCAUGGCGGAUGCAGCGUUUCUCGUCUUCAGGAAGAUGCAGGCCUGCAACGUACAGCCGGAUGUUGCCACAAUGGUGUCACUCAUCCCAGCGUGUGCACACCUGGCGGCUUUGCAGCAUGGCAAAUGCAGCCAUGGUUCCGUCAUAGUUCGUGGAAUGGCACCAGAAACCUCUAUCUGCAAUGCCUUGAUGGAUAUGUAUGCAAAGUGUGGGAGGAUUGAUCUCUCCAGACAGAUUUUUGAUGUCAUGCCAGCUCAGGAUAUUGUGUCAUGGAAUACUAUGAUUGCGGGAUACGGAAUCCAUGGGCUCGGGAAGGAAGCCACUGCGCUGUUCUUGGACAUGAAGAAUCACGCCUGUGAACCUGAUGGCGUCACAUUCAUCUGCCUAAUUUCAGCGUGCAGCCAUUCUGGGCUCGUGACUGAAGGGAAACGCUGGUUUCACAUGAUGGCACAGAAGUAUGGUAUAACUCCAAGGAUGGAGCACUAUAUCAGCAUGGUUGAUCUUUUGGCGAGGGGGGGUUUCCUUGAUGAAGCCUAUCAGUUUAUCCAGAGCAUGCCGAUGAAAGCAGAUGUUCGUGUAUGGGGAGCCUUGCUUGCAGCUUGCCGGGUUCAUAAGAACAUCGAUUUAGGAAAGCAAGUGGCUAGGAUGAUCCAGAAACUAGGACCUGAGGGGACUGGCAACUUUGUUCUGUUGUCCAACAUAUUCAGCGCUGCUGGGAGAUUUGACGAGGCAGCAGAAGUUCGAAUAAUACAGAAGGAGAAGGGGUUCAACAAGAGCCCUGGCUGCAGUUGGAUCGAGAUAAAUGGCUCUCUACAUGCAUUUAUUGGCGGGGACAGAUCUCAUCCACGGUCACCUGAGAUAUAUCAAGAGCUGGAUAAUAUCCUGGUAGAUAUUAAUAAAUUGGGUUACCAGGCUGAUACCAGUUUUGUUCUGCAAGAUCUUGAGGAAGAGGAAAAGGAGAAGGCGCUUCUUUAUCACAGUGAAAAGCUAGCAAUAGCUUUUGGUGUCCUCACACUUAGUGAAGAUAAGACCAUUUUUGUUACGAAGAAUCUCCGUGUGUGUGGAGAUUGCCAUACUGUUAUCAAGUACAUGAGCUUAGUCAGGAGAAGGGAUAUAAUCGUCAGAGAUGCCAAUAGGUUUCAUCAUUUCAAGAAUGGGCAAUGCAGCUGUGGAGAUUUUUGGUGA